rnacentral:rRNA from 1 species
GAUGAACGCUGGCGGCGUGCCUAAUACAUGCAAGUCGAGCGAACAGACGAGGAGCUUGCUCCUCUGACGUUAGCGGCGGAAGGGUGAGUAACACGUGGAUAACCUACCUAUAAGACUGGGAUAACUUCGGGAAACCGGAGCUAAUACCGGAUAAUAUAUUGAACCGCAUGGUUCAAUAGUGAAAGACGGUUUUGCUGUCACUUAUAGAUGGAUCCGCGCCGCAUUAGCUAGUUGGUAAGGUAACGGCUUACCAAGGCAACGAUGCGUAGCCGACCUGAGAGGGUGGUCGGCCACACUGGAACUGAGACACGGUCCAGACUCCUACGAGAGGCAGCAGUAGGGAAUCUUCCGCAAUGGGCGAAAGCCUGACGGAGCAACGCCGCGUGAGUGAUGAAGGUCUUCGGAUCGUAAAACUCUGUUAUUAGGGAAGAACAAAUGUGUAAGUAACUAUGCACGUCUUGACGGUACCUAAUCAGAAAGCCACGGCUAACUUCGUG